rfam:Synechococcus phage S-RIM2 R1_1999, complete genome.
UUUCAUGACACCGACACCCCAAACCGAGACUUAUAGGGUGUAUAAAUCACGUCUCUCAUAUCCCUACCUGAGGGUGGUAGGGAAAUAGUAACUCCA